rnacentral:rRNA from 1 species
AAUGCUAAAAGAAUGGAAAUUUAAAAAAAAACUUUUUUAAAAGUAAAAAUUGAAUUUUUUUUAAUUUGUGCAAAAACAAUUAUAUUUAUUAAAGACAAGAAGACCCUAAGAAUUUAAGAUUUUACAAUUAAAAAGUUUUUUUUUAAAAUCUUGAUUGGGGCGAUCAAAAAAUAUUAAUAACUUUUUAAAAUUUAAAUUGAUCUAUUAUUAAUAAACUAAUGAAUUAAAUACUCUAGGGAUAACAGCGUA